rnacentral:tRNA from 3 species
GCCCAGGUGGCGGAAUUGGUAGACGCGCUAGCUUCAGGUGCUAGUUUCUGUAUGGAAGUGGAAGUUCGAGUCUUCUCCUGGGCACCA